GAGUUUGAUCCUGGCUCAGGAUGAACGCUAGCGGCAGGCUUAACACAUGCAAGUCGAGGGGUAUAUUUCUUCGGAGAUAGAGACCGGCGGCACGGGUGCGUAACGCGUAUGCAAUCUACCUUUUACAGAGGGAUAGCCCCAAGAGAAAUUUGGAUUAAUACCUCAUAGUAUAUCACAAUCGCAUGAUUGAGUUAUUAAAGUCACAACGGUAAAAGAUGAGCAUGCGUCCCAUUAGCUAGUUGGUAAGGUAACGGCUUACCAAGGCUACGAUGGGUAGGGGUCCUGAGAGGGAGAUCCCCCACACUGGUACUGAGACACGGACCAGACUCCUACGGGAGGCAGCAGUGAGGAAUAUUGGACAAUGGGCGCAAGCCUGAUCCAGCCAUGCCGCGUGCAGGAUGACGGUCCUAUGGAUUGUAAACUGCUUUUAUACGAGAAGAAACACUCCUUCGUGAAGGAGCUUGACGGUAUCGUAAGAAUAAGGAUCGGCUAACUCCGUGCCAGCAGCCGCGGUAAUACGGAGGAUCCAAGCGUUAUCCGGAAUCAUUGGGUUUAAAGGGUCCGUAGGCGGUUUGGUAAGUCAGUGGUGAAAGCCCAUCGCUCAACGGUGGAACGGCCAUUGAUACUGCCAGACUUGAAUUAUUAGGAAGUAACUAGAAUAUGUAGUGUAGCGGUGAAAUGCUUAGAGAUUACAUGGAAUACCAAUUGCGAAGGCAGGUUACUACUAAUUGAUUGACGCUGAUGGACGAAAGCGUGGGUAGCGAACAGGAUUAGAUACCCUGGUAGUCCACGCCGUAAACGAUGGAUACUAGCUGUUGGGAGCAAUCUCAGUGGCUAAGCGAAAGUGAUAAGUAUCCCACCUGGGGAGUACGUUCGCAAGAAUGAAACUCAAAGGAAUUGACGGGGGCCCGCACAAGCGGUGGAGCAUGUGGUUUAAUUCGAUGAUACGCGAGGAACCUUACCAAGGCUUAAAUGU
rnacentral:rRNA from 1 species